GAAAUCUAUUCUUAAGUGCCUUUUUAAGAAAGGAAUAAAAACAAAAUGAGUGGACAAAAACCAAGUAAAAUAAGCCAGAACUUGUUUAUUGAAAAAGCACUAAAACAAAAUAUUUUGGUAAGAUCGAGCAAGAAGACACAAAUAGAGAAUGGAAAAAUGAAAAUUUUAUAAACGCAGUUGAAAUUUGAAAAUGUGAGGAUAUUAUGAACAAUUCAUUUGAAAACUGACAAAAUACACAAAUUACUACGAGUAUUUUACUCAAACUAAUUGAAGAUAGACAUGUAAUCCCACAGCUCCUAAAUAGUUUCAGUAAUUAAAAAUUUCCCCCAAAGAAAAGCCUUUUAUAGUAAGUUCCACUAACCUGUUCCAUAUGGUACCAAUUCUUAAUCUAACAGUUAACAGUUCAUUCAAAAUAAUGGCAACAAUGUAUUUGAUUUUGUACACAUAUAUUUUUGUGUGUGUGUGUGUGUGUGUGUGUGUAUAGUCGUCAUACUUAGGGGUGCUUAUAUAUAAGUGGAAUGACAGCAAUGAUACAUGGGAUAGGAAAGAGAAAUUAGGAUUAUUUUGUUACUAUAAGGUACACUGCCCAAGAAGCAGUAUAUUAUUAUUUGAAAGAGGGGUUGCAUUAUUUGUAAAUCUAUACUGCAAACACAAGGGCAACCACAAGAAAACCACGCUAGAAGAGAGAAUAAUAAAAUGCCAAAUUAACACCAUCAAAGGCACAAGACGAAUGGAAGACAAAAAUAGGAAUAAAGAACAAGGUUAACAAAUAGAAAACAGUAACAUUAUGGUAGAUGUUUAUCCAAAUAUAUAAAUACUUUGAAUGUCAAGGGUGUAAAUGUACCAAUUAAAAGAUAGAUUAUUAUAUGGAAAAACUGGGCCAGUUUAAAAAAGAAAAAAUUGUCAAAGCAGGAUCAAAGAACAAAACCCAAUUAUAUGUUGGUUACAAGCAACCCACUUGAAAUGUAAAGAGACAUACAAAUUAAAGAGAGAAAAAUAUGCCAGGCUAACACUAACCAAAAUGAAGAAACAGGUAUAUUAUAGAAUAGCAGACUAUACAGCAAGAAUUACUAUCAGGGAUAAUGAUGAAAGGGGUCCAUUCUCCAAGAAGACAUGACUAUCCUUAACAUGUAUGCACCCAAGAACAGAGGAUCAGGAUACAUGAGGCAAAAACUGAUAGAACUGCAGGGAGAAUGAUAUAGUUUGGAAGUUGACCCCUCUAACUCUCUUGUUGAAUUGUAAUUUCCAGUGCUGGAGGUGGAACCUGGUAGGAGGUGACUGCAUCAUUGGUGCAGAUUUCUCAUGAAUGGUUUAGCCCCAUCCACUUGAUGCUGUCCUUGUGAUGGUGCGUGCUCAUGAGGUUUGCCUGUUUACAAGUAUAUGGCUUCUUCCUUCACUCUCUCUUACUCUUGAUUCUCACUAUGUGAGACAUCGGGUUCCUUUGCCUUCCACCAUGAUUGUAAGCUUUCCGAGGCCUCACCAGAAGCUGAGCAGAUGCCUGGGACUGUGCUGCUUGUACAGCCUAUAGAACCAUAAGCCAAUUAAGCUUCUUUAUAUAUUACCCAGCCUCAGGUAUUUUUUGCAAUAUAAGGAUGGCCUGCCACAGAAAAUUGGUACUGAGGAGUGGAGCAUUGCUAUAUAGCUACUUGAAAAGCCAGAGUCUCUUCCUCCAAACAACCACCCUAGUGCCCCAGCAAGGGUUCUUAACCAGGCUGAAAUGGCUGAAAUGACAGAAGUAGAAUUCAGAAUAUGGAUAGGAACAAAAAUCAUCGAGAUUCAGGAGAAAAGUCAAAACCCAAUCCAAGAAAUCUAAGGAUUACAAUAAAAUGAUACAGAAGCUGAUAGAUGAAAUGGGCAUUAUAAGAAAGAACCAAACUGAUCUGAUAGAGCUGAAAAAGACACUACAAGAAUUUCAUAAUGCAAUCACGAGUAUUACCAGCAGAAUAGACCAAGCUGAGAAAAGAAUCUCAGAGCUCAAAGAUUGGCUCACUGAACUAAAACAAAAAGAAUGAACAAAACCUCCAAGAAAUAGGGGAUUAUGUAAAGGAAACCAAAGGGGAAGAAAGCAAGCAACGUGGAAAACAUAUUUCAGGAUAUUGUUCAUGAAAUUUCCCCAACCUCACUAGAAUGGCCAACAUUCAAACUGAGGAAAUGCCCUGGGAGAUACUUCACAAGAAGACCAUACCUGAGGCACAUAGGCAUAAGAUUUUCCAAGGUUGAAAUGAAAGAAAAAAAUGUAAAAGCAGCCAUAGAGAAGGGGCUGCCCAGCCUUGGGACACUGCUCAGCUCUAAAGGGCCCAAGUAAGGCAUGGGGUGCCACUUGUGCAGGGCACAAGCCAUAAGCCUUGGUGGCUAACACGUGUUGUUAAGCCUGCAGGUGUGGAGAGUGCAAGGGUGAAGGAGGUUUGGCAACCUCCACCUAGAUUUCAGAGGAUGUAUGAGAAAGCCUGAGUAACCAGGCAGAAGCCUGCUGCAGAGAUGGAGCCCUCACAGAGAACCUCUACUAAGCCAGUAUGGGGGGGAAAUGUGGGGUUGGAGGCCCAACAGAGUCCCCACUGGGGUGCUCCUCAGAGAGCUGGGGGAAGGGGGCCACUGUCUUCCAGACCCCAAAAUGGUUGAUCCUCCAAUAGCUUGCACUCUGUGCCUGGAAAAGCUGCAAGCACUAAACUCCAACCCUUUACCCUGCAAAGUCACAGAGGCAGAGCUUCCCAAGGCUUUGGGAGCCCACUCCUUAUACCAAUGUGCUCUUGUGAGGCACAAGGUAAGACAUGGAGUCAAAGAAGGUUAUUUGGGAUAUUUAAAAAAAGACUGCACUGCUGUAUUUCAGACUUGGAUGGGGCCUGCAGCCUCUUUUGGCUAAUUUCUCUUGUUUGGAAUGGUAAUAUUUAUCCAAUAUCUGCACCCCCAUUGUAUCUUGGGAGUAAAUACCUUGUUUGGAUUUUAAAGGCUUAUAGGUGGAAGAGACCUGCCUUGUCUCAGAAGGCCUUUGUACUUUUGAAUGAUGCUGGAAUUAGUUAAGAUUUUUGGGAGAAUAUUGGCAGAGGACGAUUGUAUUUUGCAAUGUGAGAAUAUGAGAUUUGAGAUGCUGGGGCAGAAUGAUACAGUUUGCAUGUGGUCUCCUCUAAAACUCAUGUUGAAUUAUAAUCCCCACUGUUUGUUGGAGGUAGGACAUGGUGGGAGAUAACUGGAUCAUUGGGGCAGAUUUCUCAUCAAUGUUUUAGUGCCAUCCACUUGGUGCUGUCCUUGUGAUAGUGAGUUCUCACAAUAUCUAGAUGCUUAAGUGUAGCAUCUUCCCCCUCAUUCUCUUCUGCUCUUGCUAUGUGAGAUGCCAGGUCCCCUGUUGGCUUCUGCCAUCAUUGCAAGUUACCUGAGGCCUCACCAGAAGCUGAGCAGAUGCCUUGCACCAUGCUUCUUGUACAACUUGCAGAAUUGUGAACCAAUUAAACCUUUUUACCUUAUAAAUUAUCCAGUCGCAGGUAUUUCUUUAUAGCAAAUUAGAGAAUAGGUUAACACAGAAAAAGUUGAAUUCACUAUUAUAGUUGGAGACUUCAACACUCCUCUAUCAGAAUGAAGAGAUCCAUCAAGCAGAAAAUCAGGAAGUCAACAGAGAAAAUUGAUAAAACCAAAAGCUGGUUUUUGAAAAAUUGAUAAAAUCAGUAAACCUCUGUCAAGCCAGACUGAGAGAGACAAAAAUUAAUAUCAGAGAUGAAAGAGGGGAUAUCACUGUAAAUCCCAUGGACGUAACAAAGGUAAUAAAGGAGUAUCACAAUUGUAUGCCUACAAAUUUGAUAACCUACAUGACGAAGAAGUCCUUGAAACACAACCUGCCAAAACUCACACCAGAAGAAAUAGAUACUCCAAAUAACACCUGUAUCUAUUUUAAAAAUUGAAUCUAUUGCCUUCCCAAACAGAAAAUGCUAGACUGAGGUGGGUUCACUGGUGAAUUCUAAAAACGAUACCAAUUCUGUAGAAACUCUUUCAGAAGGUAGAAGCAGAGGGAAUUCUUCCCAACUCAUUCUAUGAGGCCUAAAACCAAAACCAGACAAAAAUAUCACGAGAAAACUACAAACCAGUGUCUUUAAUUAACAUAGAUGUAAAAAUCCUCAAUAAAGUAUUAGCAAAUCCAAUUCAACAAUGUAUAAGAAUUAUACACCAGGAUCAAGAGGGAUUCAUCCCAGAUACGCAAGGCUGGUUCAGAUAUUGAAAAUGAACUAAUAGAAUCUAUCACAUAAAGAAACUCAAGAAAAAUCAUAUGAUCACAUCAAUAGAUCCAGAAAAAUAUGACAAAAUCCAAAACCCAUUCAUGAUAAAAAUUUUCCAUAAACUAGACCAGGCGCAGUGGCUCAUGCUUGUAAUCCUAGCACUUUAGGAGGCUGAAGCAAGCAGAUCACUUGAGGUCAGGAGUUCAAGACCAGCCUGGCCAACAUGGUGAAACCCUGUCUCUACUAAAAAUACAAAAAAUUAGCUGGGCUUGGUGGCAGGCGCCUGUAAUCCCAGCUACUCGGGGGGCUGUGGCAGAAUUGGUUGAACCCAGGAGGCGGAGGUUGCAGCGAGCCGAGAUUGCGCCACUGCACUCCAGCCUGGGUGAGAGUGAGACCCCGUCUCAAAAAAAAAAAAAAAAAAAAAUUCUCCAAUUCUCCAUAAAAAAGGAAUGGAGGGGAACUUUCUCAACCUGGUAAGGAAUAUUUACCAAAGAUCCCCAACCAGUAACAUCAUAUUUAAUGGUGAGAAAUUUAGCAGUUUUCCUACUAAGGAGGAAGGCAAAGAUGUUUCUUUUCACUAUUUCUUUUCAACAUCCUAAUGGAAGUCCUGGUUAAUGCAAUAAAACAAGAAAAGGAAAUAAAAAGUACACUACUUGGGAAAGGACAUAUAACAUUAACAUUGUCUCUGCUAGCUGAUGACAUGAUCAUUCAUGUAGAAAAUCCAAAAGAAUUGAUUACAAAUCUCCUGGAACCUAUAUGCAAUUACAGCAAGGUUGCAGGAUACAAGGUUAUUAUAUGAAAGUAAACUGCUUUCUUAUGUAACAGUAAUAACUCAAAUUUGAAAUUAAAACCCAAUGCCAUUUAUAUUAGCACCCCAAAAUGAAAUAUUUAGGUAAAAAUUAAGAAAAUAUACAUAAGAUCUACAUGAGAACUACAGACCUGAUUAAAGAAAUCAAAGACCCAAAUAAAUGGAGAGAUAUUUCAUAUUCAUGGAUAGGAAGACUCAAUAUUGUCAACAUGUCAGUUCUUCCCAACCUGAUCUAUAGAUUCAAUGUAAUCCCAAUCAUAAUCCCAGCAAUAUUUUGUGGAUAUUUGAUAAACUGAUUUUAAAGUUUAUAUGCAGAGGCAAACAACCUGGAAUAGCAAACACAAUAUUGAAGGAGAAAACCAACACUGAAGGAGGAAUGAUUGAUAGCACUCAUCCUCAAGAUUUAAUAUAAAGCUAUAAUAAGAUAGUGUGGUAUUGGCAAAAGAAUAGACAAAUGAUCAAUGAAACAGAACAGAGUUUAGAAACAGACUCAUAUUUAGUCAACUGAUACCUAGCGAAAGGACAAAGGCAAUACAAUGUAGUAAAAAUAGUCUUUUUGACAAAUGAUGCUGGAAUAACUGGACAUCCACAUGCAAAAAAAAGAAUCUAGACACAGACUUUCCACCCUUCACAAAAAUUAACUCAAAUGGAUCACAGAACUGAAUGUAAAAGUAUACAACUCCUAAAAGAAAACAUAGAAGGAAAUUUAGAUGGUCCUCUCUUUGACAGUGGCAUUUUAGAUACAACACCAAAGGCAUAGUUCAUGAUCCACAAAGGUCUCUCCCCUCCCAUCUCUGACCCCAAACAACCAUUAAUCUGUUCUCCAUUUCUAUAACUGUAUCAUUACAUGAAUGCUAUAUAAAUGGAAUUAUAUGUGAUCUUUGGGGACUGGAUUUCUUUAAAACCCAGCAUUCAUGUUGUUGCAUGUACUAAUGGUUCAUUCCUUUUUUAAGUAGUAUUCUAUGGUAUAGGUUUACUGGUGUGUUUUUUCAUUCAUCUAUUGAAGGACAUCUGGGUUUCCAGUUUUGUCUGUUACAAAUAAAGCUGUUAUGAACAUUUAUGUGCAGGUUUUUAUGUGAACAUAAGAUUUUAUCUGGGAUAAACAGUCAAUACUUUUAUGGGCAUUGUGCUGCUGAUAAUGUUGGAGAAAGACCACUUCACAAGAAUUAUGGAAUAAAAUAUACUAAAGCUUGGUAACUAACAUGAGUUGGAGUAUUUUAUCAGUAAAAGUACAUUCUUUUUUAGUAAGGGAAAUUUUUAUACUAUCUGAAGUAUCUGUGGAAGAAGACAAGCAUCAAAACUGGCAACCAGAAAAAAUAGCUGGAAGACAUAGUAGAUGUAGAAUAUCCACUGAAAAUAUAUUAAUAUUCUCCAAACUAAACUGAUCCAUAUACUGAAGACUCUUUAGGGGAAGAAUGCCUCUUUACCUUUGAGAUCCUACUUCUGGGGUCACUUACAGACAACCAAAGGGUAACAAUCUCCUAAGCAAUUUAAUUAUCAUUACAGAAAACAGGCAGUUACUUUCUAGUGCCAGGUCCUUUUUCACAUAGGAAGAAAGGUCUAAAUGUUAUUAUGGCCACCUAAAGUUAAGCUGCUAAAUAAUCAGUACACUAC
rnacentral:lncRNA from 1 species